GCUGAGGAGUGAUGACAUAAAAGGCCGAAUUGCAGUGUCUCCAUCAACAGUUGGCUCUCUGAGCACACGAUGACAAAACCUCCUGAAGCGAGUCACUGUCUGACCUCAGU
rnacentral:snoRNA from 7 species